GAACGACUCUCGGCAACGGAUAUCUCGGCUCACGCWUCKAUNAARAASGUAYCAAACUGCGAUACUUGGUGUGAAUUGCAGAAUCCCGUGAACCAUCGAGUUUUUGAACGCAAGUUGCGCCCGAAGCCAUUCGGUUGAGGGCACAUCUGCCUGGGCGUCACRU
rnacentral:rRNA from 1 species